rnacentral:rRNA from 1 species
UGCAGUCGAGCGAUGAAGCACCUUCGGGUGUGAAUUAGCGGCGAACGGGUGAGGAACACGUGAGAAAUCUGCCUUCAACUCUGGGAUAACUCCGUGAAAACGGGGCUAAUACCGGAUAUGAGAUCUACAGGCAUCUGUGGAUCUGGAAAGUUUUUCGGUUGAAGAUGAUCUCGCGGCCUAUCAGCUUGUUGGUGAGGUAAUGGCUCACCAAGGCGACGACGGGUAGCCGGCCUGAGAGGGCGACCGGCCACACUGGGACUGAGACACGGCCCAGACUCCUACGGGAGGCAGCAGUGGGGAAUAUUGGGCAAUGGAGGAAACUCUGACCCAGCGACGCCGCGUGCGGGAUGAAGGCCUUCGGGUUGUAAACCGCUUUCAGCAGGGAAGAAGCGAAAGUGACGGUACCUGCAGAAGAAGCACCGGCUAACUAUGUGCCAGCAGCCGCGGUAAUACAUAGGGUGCAAGCGUUGUCCGGAAUUAUUGGGCGUAAAGAGCUCGUAGGUGGUUCGUCACGUCGGAUGUGAAACUCUGGGGCUUAACCCCAGACCUGCAUUCGAUACGGGCGAGCUUGAGUAUGGUAGGGGAGUCUGGAAUUCCUGGUGUAGCGGUGGAAUGCGCAGAUAUCAGGAGGAACACCAAUGGCGAAGGCAGGACUCUGGGCCAUUACUGACACUGAGGAGCGAAAGCGUGGGGAGCGAACAGGAUUAGAUAC